CCGAGGUAUUAUUUACAAACUUUUAUCAUCUCCAAAACCAAAACAAAUGCAAACUAAACUAAACUAACUAACAGCCAAAACGGGGAAAAUCAAUAGUAAAUUAUCAAAUAAAUUAUCGUCCCCCCAAAAAUCUUAUAAACGCUCGCUAAAUUUCUAAACUGAAGCUUUGAAGGGAUCAAUCUAUCAUAGUCAAAUCGAAUAAGAACAUAACCCUGAACUUUAUACAUGUGGCCAUGGAUGAAGAUCAGAAUAAUUCCCCUUAUUCUUUCUCCAAAACAGGCUAAAAUUUACAUUGACCUGUGAGAAGGAUAGUCAAACAUUGUCUAAAGCAAUUAAAAAGAAGAACAGUUUCUAAGUUCUGCAUAUAGGAACAAGUCAUCAUUACAAAUACGAGCCACUCAAGCUUGUCAAGUUAAAUAAAACACGACCAAAAAAAAUAAGUAUACCUCAACAACUCCAACCCCACAACAUAACCAACAAGGAGUGAUGCAAAAAGAAGGAAAAAAAGAAGCAAGAUAGAGAGAGAUUUAAUUCAUAGUUCAAGAUACCCAACUUGCUGGUGAUUCAGUUAUAUUCCAGCAUUUUUUAUCAACUUCCUUUAAUCCCUCUAUUAACCACCAAUUCAAAGCCAUAAACCACGGCCUCCAACAUUUAUUGGGGCCAAAGAUAGGCAAAGAAGAGGAAAAUUUGCUUUGAUUUGAUGGUUAACAUAGGGAUUAAAUGGAAUUAAUCAAAAUCUCCCAUAACAAAAGGGAGAGUUAUGACUUAAAAAGUAUAAUGAAAACCUUGCUAGCAAGAAAAAAUGGAGGCCUCUGAACUAACUCCAAGUCACAUUCAGCCAAAUAUGGAACAAGGAAUUGAUCCGUCUCCCUGAACAUUCACGUAUGGCAAUGUGAGAGAAAUAAGCAAAACAGAGGAAUCCACAUAAAUUGAUUGCAAAAUGACAGUGAAGAAUUAGAAGAUUCACAAUCACAAGUGAAGAAUACCAUCAAGUUAUAUAAUAUCAUCAAGGUUAAAAAUAAAAAAGAACCACUGACCUCUCCCAGGCAAUGAAAUGCGCCAUAUAUACCUGCAAAUAAAGUUGAGAAUAUUGCAUACCAGAUCUGGGCAUCCAUUAAUAGACCUAAAAAGGCAUAGUAGAUUUAAAGCAAGAGAGUCGAGACCUAACCAAAAAAGGCACAUCAAUGAAAGCUUCCUCUAAAACAAAAAACAAGAAAUUUUAUUGUAAAUAUUGUAUAAUCCAAACAAAAAUAAUUGGCGCCCAAAGUGCAAUACAACACCAAUAUUGCUUUUAGCUUUAAAUCACGUGGUGAAAUGAAAACUAAUAUCAAUGCCAAUAAUUUGUGUGGACAGCUCCAAACAGUAAUAUUUACUACCUCAGGGGAAAAACUCAUGCCAUUGGUAUGUUUAUAUAAGAACAAUCAUUAUAGCUUUUGUUGCAAUUCAAAUCUUUAUUAGUUAAACGUCAGCUGCUCCAUGUCAUUAUACAUUUAGAUUAAUGAAACGGAUCAGAUUAUCCACUACAUAAGCACAUUCCAAUAAACAUAAUAUGUUCUUCCUUGACCACAUGGCAUGAUACUGAAAGCACCUCAAUAUAAUAAUGAGUUAAUUAAAUAACUCAUUAUCAACAUUUAUAUCUGGUUACUACUUGCUCACUCACAAAUAAAAUGUUACUGAACGCUCACUCAAUUUUAUAGAACUUUACCCAUCCAUCAUCAUUUCAAUUCCAUCUGUCCACCUUGACGAAAAAGUACACGUGGCGGACAGAAAUCCCUCGUGGCAACAAACAGCAUUAAAUAUUGACAACUAGACAUUAAUCACCAAAUUUGAAACAAAAUUUUCUCUUUAAAAAUGCAAGAAACGUUUUUCUCAUAUUCCC
rnacentral:lncRNA from 1 species